rnacentral:lncRNA from 1 species
GCUAGCGUUAUAUCCUAUUAUUCAUAAAAAUCAGAAGCGCUUUAACAAGUCCUUUAUGAAACGAUGCCAUCAACCUAUCAUGAAAUUAACACUUUUAACUGAAGCAUGCAUGAACUCAAGUCACUCUGUAACUUGUUCGAAAAAAAUUACAUCUAUUUUUACUCAUGAAUUUCAAUCAAGAGUAAUACUGACAGUCCAUAUAGUCCAUGAGUGUGUCUAUUAUUCAUGUAACGUAAAACAAAUAACUAAUAUCAACUACCUCUACUUAUCUAUAAUCUAUCGAAUUGCAAACAACAUACAACCUACAACUGAACAUAGAUCUAUGAACAUUUUCAUUUCAAUUUUAGUGAGCUACAUCAAGGCAAUUCGAAGAAGUGUACCUGGACGGAAUAAAAAUAAAGAAGAGGUGAGUCAGCUAAGCAGUGAAUAACAGCAAAUCAAAACCCAGGAGACUAGAUCAAUUUGAAUCCAAAAUCACUACAAUAGACCCACGACUGAUUAACAACAAAUUACACACCAAGCAGCAAGCCAAACCACCUACAAUUGGAUCAAAUUGUACUCGAAAUCAACCACACUGAUGUGAACUCGAACUAAACCAGAUUUAAGAGAUGCUAAAGUCAUUUCCAACCUUCUGUUGGUUAUGAUUUGAUCUAAAGGAUUGUUUGAACUGAAAUUUUAAUUGCAAAUCGGGAGGUUUGAGGAGUAUUUUAGGGGGGAGUUUUGUGAGCUCAAAACUUUUAAAUGAAAGUAUUGGGGAUGCCUUUUAUAGGCAGCAGGAGAUGCAAUUUCAGAUUUUUCAUUUUACACAUUAAUCCCUUACUUACUUUCAGUUGAAUCCCCCUAUUUAUUAACUUGUUUGUCAAGUAAACCUACUAACUUCCUGAAAUUAGAAUUAAAUACCUAUUCUAGAAUAUUCUAGGGUAUUCCAUUUAAAUUACUACAACAUUAUGUUCAAUCCUAAGUACCCAAAUUCCCUUGAAGUUACACUGAAUUUGCAGCUAUAACCAAACAACUUUCUAAAUUAUGAAUUAAACUUCAACUGAAUAAAUGUAAUCCUAAUUCACCACAUAUCUAAUUAUUUAUUAAAAUCAAUAUUAAAAGAUCCGAACUAAAAAAACAAUCAUUAAACUCUACUAAACUUAACCAAUAGAAGAAGAGAAAAUCAAAGAACACGGACUGAUUAACAAAAUUAACUACAACAAAAUCACAUAAUUCAAAAAUUAAACUGAGAUAAAGCUUAACAUGCAAAGGCAUCAACUAAUCAAGACGAACAUAUUAGUCACAAAAGGAAGAAAAAUAUUUGAAUUAAGAUGAACACUUAGGCUUAAAGUACUUGAACACUUAACAAAACUUCAAAUCAAACAUCAAAAUAAGAACAGAAAACCAGAAGAGAAAACUUACCGCCCAACUCUCAAAUUCAAAAUUUGCCUGAUUCUAGUGGGAUUUGAGCUCCAAUAAUGCUGAAAUCCUUAUGGGGAAGGGAGGGGAUCACAUGGUAUUAAUUUGAAGUGGUUUGGGGCAAUUAGGGUUUUGGCCGGAAAAUAUUCAAAUCAACAUUCGAACGAUUCCGGCCAUAUUCGAGGGACAUGGUUAUGGGGUUUGAUAGAGGAGGUUCAUGCGAUUCUAUGGUGUUAAUUUGGUGUAAUUUGGAUGAGGUGGCAUCAUGGUCGAAAAAUAUUCAAACAAAGAUUCGACGGGUUCAAGUAAGAUUCGAAGGAAAGGGACAGUGGAUUCGGAUAGAGGAGGAGAAGGUGAGUUCAUGGGGUUAUUUUGGGGUCAAACAGAGACAGGCCGCCGCCGGCGUUGUAGGGUUCGAUUUAUGGUAUGAUGAAGGAGAUGAGACGGGAGGGGGGAUGUGGGGCUUUCCGACCGUUUUAUACUAAUGAAGGAUCAGUUUCUGGCCGUUGAUCUAGAUAUCCUAGACGGCCAGGAUUAGCCCUUAAGGAACGAGGUCGUUUUUUGGGGUAACGGGGUCGGAUCUGGUAGGGGUUAAUUGGGCCUGGGCGUAGGGUGCUUUGUUUGGG